rnacentral:rRNA from 3 species
GUUAAUAAACUAAAACUUUCAACAACGGAUCUCUUGGUUCUGGCAUCGAUGAAGAACGCAGCGAAAUGCGAUAAGUAAUGUGAAUUGCAGAAUUCAGUGAAUCAUCGAAUCUUUGAACGCACAUUGCGCCCCUUGGUAUUCCGGGGGGCAUGCCUGUU